rnacentral:rRNA from 1 species
CAACGGCCGCGGUACUCUGACCGUGCAAAGGUAGCAUAAUCAUUUGCCCUAUAAUUAAGGGCUAGUAUGAACGGUCUAACAAGAAUGGAGCUGUCUCUUUUAAAAUCCUUAGAAUUUGGUCUUUAGGUGAAGAAACCUAAAUUAUAUUGAUAGACAAGAAGACCCUAUCGAGCUUUAAAACAAUUAGUUAAACAAAUAGACAACACUAACUUUAACUAAAAAUUUUGGUUGGGGCGACUAAGGAACAAACAAAGCUUCCUUAAUAAAUUCUACACUAAUAAGUAAUGAUCCAAAAUAUUUGAUUAAUAAAAUUAGUUACCGUAGGGAUAACAGCAUAAUCUUCUUCAAGAGUUCUUAUCGAAAAGAAUGUUUGUGACCUCGAUGUUGGACUAGGAUAUCCAAAAGAUGCAGAAGUCUUUAAAGGUUGGUCUGUUCGACCAAUAAAAUCCUACGUGAU